rnacentral:rRNA from 1 species
ACGCGUGGGAAUCUGCCNUUGGGUUCGGAAUAACGUCUGGAAACGGACGCUAAUACCGGAUGAUGANGUAAGUCCAAAGAUUUAUCGCCCAGGGAUGAGCCCGCGUAGGAUUAGCUAGUUGGUGAGGUAAAGGCUCACCAAGGCGACGAUCCUUAGCUGGUCUGAGAGGAUGAUCAGCCACACUGGGANUGAGACACGGCCCAGACUCCUACGGGAGGCAGCAGUAGGGAAUAUUGGACAAUGGGCGAAAGCCUGAUCCAGCAAUGCCGCGUGAGUGAUGAAGGCCUUAGGGUUGUAAAGCUCUUUUACCCGGGAUGAUAAUGACAGUACCGGGAGAAUAAGCCCCGGCUA